rnacentral:rRNA from 1 species
UGAACGCUGGCGGAGGCCUACACAUGCAAGUCGAACGGUAACAUUUCUAGCUUGCUAGAAGAUGACGAGUGGCGGACGGGUGAGUAAUGCUUGGGAACUUGCCUUUGCGAGGGGGAUAACAGUUGGAAACGACUGCUAAUACCGCAUAAUGUCUUCGGACCAAACGGGGCUUCGGCUCCGGCGCAAAGAGAGGCCCAAGUGAGAUUAGCUAGUUGGUAAGGUAACGGCUUACCAAGGCGACGAUCUCUAGCUGUUCUGAGAGGAAGAUCAGCCACACUGGGACUGAGACACGGCCCAGACUCCUACGGGAGGCAGCAGUGGGGAAUAUUGCACAAUGGGGGAAACCCUGAUGCAGCCAUGCCGCGUGUGUGAAGAAGGCCUUCGGGUUGUAAAGCACUUUCAGUUGUGAGGAAAAGUUAGUAGUUAAUACCUGCUAGCCGUGACGUUAACAACAGAAGAAGCACCGGCUAACUCCGUGCCAGCAGCCGCGGUAAUACGGAGGGUGCGAGCGUUAAUCGGAAUUACUGCGCGUAAAGCGCACGCAGGCGGUUUGUUAAGCUAGAUGUGAAAGCCCCGGGCU